UACUAAUCAACUCUAAAUCAAUUGAAAAAGAAAUUUAAAAGCUUAAAAAAAAAACUAAACCAAAACAGUCCGGUCGAAAAAUAAAUCAUCAUCGCCAACUUCCUCUAAAAGAGCUAAUUUAAUUAAUGAUGGAGAGUGGAAGAUGGCGAGUGGGAAAAAACAGACAUGCAUACUGAUAGACCAAGACGAGUACAUCAACACUAAUUUAAAAUCAUAUCCCGAUAAUCAUCAUCCAUCUCUAUUAACAAAGGAUCAAAUUUUUGACCAUAGUGUUCAUACUCAUCUAGAACCCCUGAACCUUGGAUAAUGAUCAAGAAAAUGAAUGUUGUAAAUAAUUCAAACAAAUAUGCAGAAUGCCCUAGUUUUGAGAAUUGGGUAGUGAGUGGUGUGGAUAAUGCUACUACUAACACCCUAACUCAUAUUUAGAUGAGGAUUUUAAAAAUAAAAUGACAAAACAAGCAUUGACUUUAGUGGUCUCUAAUUAUAACGACAACUGUUCUUAAGAAAGAUCUAACUUCAAUGAAUUAACCUGGUAAAUAUUAUUCAAACAAACAGCAAUGUGAACCUGAUUUGUCCUCCCUCUGAACACUAGCAUAUGCCCAAUUAACUUUGAUAGGUUGGCCAAACCUGCAAAUUAACAAGAUUAAAUGGUACACUUCAAAACUCCAAAUAACAUAGUGAAUAUUGUUUAUAAAAAGCCAUUUGAAGCAGAAUAGUAAUUAAUUGCUUAUAGAGUUACAUAUAUAUGCAUUUAAGAAGCAUGAUACUCACCAUUAAAGAGUUUUUAAGACUUUACUUGAUUUUUAAAGGUGUUAAAAUCUUUAAAUUUGUCCCUAAAGAUGUUAAAGGCAGGCUAGUAUGUUUUUUGUUGAAUGUAGUAAUCGCCAAGGGACAGAGAACAGAUGUGGUCUUUAAUUAUUGUUUAUAAUCGCCAAGGUACUAGGAUUAAAUCAUCCAUUACAGUAUUAAACCAUCUUAAACCAGCUACAAGUAUCAAAAUCAUUAAAAAACAAAAAAAAGAUACAAGUUUGCAAUACGGUAAAAGAAAAGAAAAUCACACAAAAAAAAAACACGCACACCAAAGAAAAUCAGAUGAAACUCUCGGACGACAAAAAGACUAAACUAGCUAGCACUUACCUGAACUUGCCGCAUUGGACUGGAGUGUCACGACGAACGAGAUUGGGGGGAGUUGAUCGAGAACGCCGGUGGUUGAGAAGGAGAUUGGGAGAAAGAAAUUGGAGGAAAUGAGAUUGGGGGAAAUGAAA
rnacentral:lncRNA from 1 species